AUAGGGGCACCGGCCAUUUAUCCCCAACUGCAGGAGGGGAGGCGGGAAAGCAGAUUCCCGUUCUCACACACCAGGACCUGGCGGGUGCUUGAACUGCGUGAGGUCAUUGGACUUUGAGUCUGGGCUUCCCACCGGCCCCUCCAUUUGACAGCUGAGACCCAGGGAGUAGCGAGCUGCCCCAGGACACGCCGAGGAUCAGAUGCAGAAUUGGAAUUAGAACCCAGGGCUCCCCGUGCCUUGCCCAGUGCCUUCAGGCUGUGCCCUGGGGCAGAGUCCUGACCAUACUCUGCCACUCACCGCACCUGUGCUCUGGGCAGUGAACAGGUAGCCUAGUGGGCUCCAGGAAGGUCAUUAGGGAGGGAAAUGGAGACAUGGGCAAGCUUCAGAAGAGGACCAGCAAGCCACCCGGUCGCGCAGGUUUUGUUAUCACCGUUGUGCAGCUGGACAGACUGAGGCUCCAAGAGGUGACAUGACGCGACCGGGUCACAUGGCUCAGCAGCAGUUGAGCUGCAAGUUGAAUCCAGGUCUCCUGACGGGCUCCUAUCCAAAAUCACACAGCGAGCGAGACACAGAGCCAGGAUUUGAUCCUAGGUUUGACCGACUCUAAAACGUGCACGUUAAUUAAACCGCCUCCCCGAUGCUGAAACUUGGCAGAGAGAGGAAGGAACUCCCUUCCUGCCGAGAUUCCUGACAAACCGAAAGUGGCAGGUGGAGAUACCAAGCAACACUGAGAUCACUGGGUAGGGACGUCUGGCACAAAAGGAUCUGAAGGUGCUUCCGACUCCGCAAUUCUAUCUCUUUAAGACCCAGAGCUCCCAUGCCAAGCCUGCUCCGUGAUCCUCAGAGAUUUCAGGGGUGGGGAAACUGGAUUGAAUGCGCUGACAUACAACAAGCAAAAAAA